rnacentral:lncRNA from 1 species
AUUAGAAAGAGAAAUCCGACCCACAUUAUGUUAGGGCAGAUCUUCCAUUAUAAAUAGAGGCUAUGUACCUUUUUUUUAAAGACCAAUGAAAGAAAGGGGGAGUUAAAGUCCUACUUUCGAGAAUCCUCUAUUUCUUAUAGUUUUUCUUUUGAGAGAUUCGAGAAUCCUCUAUUCAUGGUCCAAAUGCGUGAGUGGUACAAGCAGUGAAGGAUUAUUCAUACUUGAAGUACGUUAAAGGAUAAAGGCGAGUAUAACUGCUACUUCUACCUUGACGGAUGAUGAGAUAAUGAAACAUCUCACACAACUUGAGAAAAAGAUAGCCCAACUCAUUGAGAUCGUGUCUCGAUUGGCGACACCUUCAACACGAGCCCAAGUAACUUUAUAUUCGGGCAAAACUAAGUGGUUCAACCGUGAGGCGGGAAAGUAAGCAUUUUUCUAUUUUCAAUUUUGAUUUAGCAAGUGCUAAAUCUCCUAAACAAGAAAAGUUGAUCUAGGAGGACCAUUGGAUUCGAUGUAAACCAUUUUGGCCACUAUGAGUAUUCAGAAGGAUCACCAAACUUGAUGUGGGUUGCUUUGGCCACUACGAGUAUCCAAAAAAAUUACCAAACUCGAUGUGGAAUACUUUAACCACUUCGAGUAUUUAGAAGGAUCACUAGACUCGAUGUAAAAUACUUUAGCUACUACGAGCAGGGCUGGACGGUGUUUAGGAGCGAGACCCGCCAUAUUGGAAAGCCGAGUUGCAGGCCAAACUUUAGGAGGUCAUAAUUUGGUCAUAUGAUGCCCAAUUGAGAUGAUCUUUUUUUAGAAUUGGGUAUCUUUUC